GUCUGUAUUCGCGGCUACUCGCGAAAUAUUUCCAUCAUUUUCGCGAGUGUCUUAUCUCGGAUGUUCGGGGCAACGAAAUGUCGAGAGUACGAAUCGCUCCGCGAUUUGAUAAAAUCGUGAAGGGUUUUGAAGAUCAGUGAAGCGGUCUCGUCGAACGUACAUAAGGAAGUCGACGAGAGGGGAAGAGAACUCUACGGCAAUAUCAAGCGUGGACAGAAAUAGAAAAGCGUUGAACGCUGCUAGAAAUCUCGUUGUCCGACCUGCACCAGUUUUCGAGUGGCCUGGAACCGAGAACGGGGCGCGCGUUCUCUUAUCACGUCCUCCUUCACGGAGUUUCGUAAUCCCGAUUGAUAAUCCGGUGGUCAAAAAUGACUCGCGGUGCGACGAGAUCGUCGUUGAGGAGUCGAGAUUCAUCGAGCACUUCGACGGGUCCAGAUCCCAGAGAACAAGUGAAGGACUGUUGCCGAAAAUUGGUAGCUUUCAUGUGUACGCAAGUUGGAGUCGGCGGACUUGUCGUCGGUUACGCGGUUGUCGGCGCGGUCGGUUUCAUACAAAUUGAAACCAAAGAGGAAUACCCACAUUACACGAAAGCGAAAGCUGCUAUCAAAGAAUGCGCCGAUCAUCUGUGGACGAGAACCGCCGGCGACAUGCGAAUUAAUAUCCUCAACCGUACGGCGUUUAUUCAAGAAACGGAAGCGGUCCUCGUGGAUUAUCAACGAAAACUGGUCGACAUCGUCAAAGAAGGUUACGACGGGCGGAGGGUCGAAGACGUGUGGACGUUUUCGGCGGCCCUGAUGUUCUGUCUGUCGAUAUUCACAAUGAUCGGAUACGGUAACACCGUCCCGAGAAGCACGUGGGGUAGAUGGGCAACGGUGAUGUACGCCGUUCUCGGUAUACCUUUGUACGUUCUCUACUUUAUGAAUAUGGGCAAAGUUUUGGCUCAAACGUUCCGAUGGUUGUACAGAUGGAUACACGAGUGUACCGGAAGACAGAGACCGGGAGGUCAGAGAAUAAUCGUCCCAUCAACGGCGUGCCUCUGGGUAAUUUGCGGUUACGUUUUAGCGGGGGCGAUUACAUUUGCGGAAUGGGAAAAUUGGGGGUAUCUCGACAGUAUUUACUUCUGUGUUACCUCGUUGUGCAAGAUCGGAAUAGGAGAUUUCGUACCUGGAGCUAAAGGGUUCGAGUCAAAGGACGGUAGCCAAACAAAACUCGUCAUUAAUUUCGUCUAUCUUCUGCUGGGCAUGGGACUUAUCGCUAUGUGUUACAACCUCAUGCGCGAAGACGUUAGGGAGAAGGCCAUCGAACUCAAAGUAUUCCUUGCCAGGAUCGUGGAGGACAUUAGAAUACGAUUUUUGGCCUGUUGCCACGUACCCGUAGCCGACCGCGAAUUAAACUGACCAACGAUAUCGAUUCGUUAAUCGUUCUGGUCAUCACAAGCUUCCUGAAUUCCACGAGACGUUCGUUUAUUCUCAUCGUUUCUAUCGAACUGCCGAAAUUGAACAAUGUACUUUUGUGAACUCUGAAAAGUGACGAACCGUGCCUCUGCUCGAUAAAAUACCUCGAGAGAGUAUAUUUCUCAAUCCUCUAUUCGUCAGAUCUCGCAUUUUGUAUUAACUUUCAGCAAUUACAGACUCGUCAUCGAUCACCGAAUCAACGCGAUGAUAGGUGACGUCGAGGUACUCUAUCUGGAGUUGCCUUGACCCGACGCAAGCUCACAAUCUCAUCUACUCCAAAUUACCUCAACGGAAAAAACUCAAGUUCGAGCGAAUUGGAAAUCAAGAGAAAAAUCGGAUCUGCGAUGAUAUUUCCGCAACGGAUUACUACCGUGCAAUUCAAAACAUGAUUCUUCACUCCAGUUCGAAUAAUCACUCGCGGUGGAGAAUGAAGAACGCGCGAUGGUACGUGCUCUGAAUGUCAAAUAUAACGGUGUCAAUGUCAAACUAUUAACCCAGAACGAACGAGGGAGGGAAGUACCUGCAGCUUUAAAGCGGGGACGUCCAUGCAGAGCGCAGCCCACCGCCUGAAGCAACCGUUCGAUGUAUAAUACGGUCCUCGGAACGAGUAAAUAUUUGCGAACCUGUGGGCGACGUCGCAAGCAAAAUCAUUUGUUAAAAAUUUUUCGCAACGGAUGACACCUAUGUUGCAAACUACUCGUAUAGAUUUCAGACCGUUAUUCGGCGAAGAUCUCGUUCGGAAGAUUGGAGGAGACAAAAAAAAAAAACAAUCAAAAAAAUCCGACACCAUAUUUUUAUCGUUUGAUUUAUAUCACGUGGCGGAUGGAAACGAAGGAGCUCGAUUUGUCGUCGGAUGAAUAGCGAUUUUCGGCGGUGAAUUUUGAAUUUAUUUAUUUUUAUUUUUAUCGUUAUAUCUGGCACAACGCGGCAUAUUCGACCACUCGGCUGUUGCAACGAUUAUAAACUUCUUAAAGUUCACGUACCGUGACUGUUGCAGAUAAAAUUAUCGCAAAGUGGAGGUUUUUUUGUUUUUUUUUUCUCUUUUUCUUUUCGAGUGUUGUCAUGACGGGGACCAACGUUUAAAUGAGAUCGAGGUAGCAAUUUAUAAACCUGCAGGGUAGGAGUUUACACUACUUGCACGUACGGCUCACACCAACGUUAAUGAAUAUUUCUAUGUAGAUUGCCAAUGGACGAGGCAAUUGGUCGGUCUAUACUCUAUAGUAACUUUAUAAACCGUCGGAACCGGGGUACGAGUUAAAUCCAGAGCGAGGAAGUGAUCUUCUGUAAUCUCUGUAGCGGCCAACAUUAUUUGUGGGAGUAUCAGUCGCGAACUCGUCGUCGCCCCGGUGGCAUCACAUCAUUACUUCCAUAAUAACACCUUGGCGAAGUAAUUAACGUUCAAGUUCAUUAAAAGUCUUGUAUA